rnacentral:rRNA from 1 species
GGCUCAGAGUGAACGCUGGCGGCAGGCCUAACACAUGCAAGUCGAACGGCAGCACAGUGGAGCUUGCUCCAUGGGUGGCGAGUGGCGGACGGGUGAGGAAUACAUCGGAAUCUGCCCAGUCGUGGGGGAUAACAUAGGGAAACUUAUGCUAAUACCGCAUACGACCUACGGGUGAAAGCGGGGGAUCGCAAGACCUCGCGCGAUUGGAUGAGCCGAUGUCCGAUUAGCUAGUUGGCGGGGUAAUGGCCCACCAAGGCGACGAUCGGUAGCUGGUCUGAGAGGAUGAUCAGCCACACUGGAACUGAGACACGGUCCAGACUCCUACGGGAGGCAGCAGUGGGGAAUAUUGGACAAUGGGCGCAAGCCUGAUCCAGCCAUGCCGCGUGGGUGAAGAAGGCCUUCGGGUUGUAAAGCCCUUUUGUCCGGAAAGAAACGCCUCGGAUUAAUACUCUGGGGUAAUGACGGUACCGGAAGAAUAAGCACCGGCUAACUUCGUG